AUUGAACGCUGGCGGCAUGCUUUACACAUGCAAGUCGAACGGCAGCGGGGGCUUCGGCCCGCCGGCGAGUGGCGAACGGGUGAGUAAUGCAUCGGAACGUGCCCAGUCGUGGGGGAUAACACAUCGAAAGAUGUGCUAAUACCGCAUACGUCCUGAGGGAGAAAGCGGGGGAUCUUCGGACCUCGCGCGAUUGGAGCGGCCGAUGUCGGAUUAGCUAGUUGGUGGGGUAAAAGCCCACCAAGGCGACGAUCCGUAGCGGGUCUGAGAGGAUGAUCCGCCACACUGGGACUGAGACACGGCCCAGACUCCUACGGGAGGCAGCAGUGAGGAAUAUUGGUCAAUGGGCGAGAGCCUGAACCAGCCAAGUCGCGUGCAGGAAGAAUGUCCUAUGGAUUGUAAACUGCUUUUGCAGGGGAAUAAAGUGAGCCACGUGUGGUUUUUGUAUGUACUCUGCGAAUAAGGAUCGGCUAACUCCGUGCC
rnacentral:rRNA from 1 species